UUUAGAAGAAACCCUACCAUUUAACAAGAACCAUCAAUACUUAAAAAGAAAAUCGUUGACGUUUAAGAUGAAGUACACGAUUCUACUGUUCGUCUGUAUGCUGUGCCUGUACAAUGCAGUGAUGCCGGGUACCUGCAAGGAAAUCAACGACGAGGAAUUUCCCGAUACAUACGUGAAGCGCGGAAGGAGGGCAUUGGUCAGCAGUUCAAAGCUGAAAAUCAUCAACGGGAUUCCAUUGUCACAAGACUCAAACAGAAAAAAAAUUCCUUUUGGUCUCUUGGGUCGAUAACAAUGAGGUGUUUGAUGCAGACGUGGAAAAAGAUAGCUGCUAAACAACAUGCAGCAAAUUUGAAUACCUAUUAAACGCUACAAAAACAUUCCUAUUUUUUUAUAUCCUAUUUUUUCUUUUUUUUCUUCUUUUGUUUGUUUUUAUUUUGCUGUUUAAAAAUUAAAUGAAAUAUUAUCGUUU
rnacentral:sRNA from 1 species